CAGAGGAGAAGAAAUCCACUAUAUCAAAGAUGAGUACAAGAGUUGGUGUUUUCAUGGUUAUACCAAAAUUAUACAACGAAACCCUAAUAUGCAUCGUGCCUACACACACAUACCCCGAAUAAUAAAACUCGGCCAUACCGUGGGGGCCCUGCCUCUAUUGGCUCAAUCCCUCCGUUACCACCACAGACCCUCAAAAUUCUUAUAAUUUUGGUUUUACCAUGUUGCACCAUGAGCUUUUUGGGUAGGGCCAAACAAAAUUCGGGUCAUUGUACUCUGACAAUAACUAACAAGCAAAUAUUUUCCCCAAUAACCAUGAGCUUUUUGGGUAGGGCCAAACAAAAUUNAUAUGGC
rnacentral:lncRNA from 1 species